AACAAAUUAUGUGAUGUAAAUGA
rnacentral:snRNA from 1 species